GUACCCCCGCUACGCAAGCAACGCGCGCCGCGUUCGAUCUCUCUCUCUGUCAAGUCUAUUCGCGCAUCAGCACGCACACGCACGCGCGCAAGCCUGCCCCCGCGCGUGAGAGCCAUGCUGAGCGAGAGUGAGCAUCACCUGGUGGCUGUGGCCUUUCAGUCCAUGGACCCCAACAACACCGGUAUGGUUGCCCUAAGCGAAGUCAAGAAGCGGUACUUCGCGCAUGCACACCCGCGCGUAAAGGAGGGCAGCAUGGCGCCAUCCGCCGCACGCGACACGUUGGACUACCAUUUCGGCGUCUGUGCUGCCGACCACGAAGGCAGCAUCACCUUCGAUGAAUUUCUGGCAUACCACGAAAAGCUCGCCGGCGAGGCAUACGACGAGCACGUUGGUGACGUCGCAGCCUUCACGGAGAAGACGAUCAUGGGGUUAUGGAGGCUCGGCGACGUGUUGCUGCCGACAGGUGUGCGUCCCGCCUUUCCGGUAACGCAGGCGCCGACCGGGUUUUACGCGGUGACGCUCAUGACGUUGGUUUGGGUAGAGCGUAGGCAGAUGGAUGCGUCUCCGGCUUCCGCUCAGCAAUCCUCCAGCAGCGGUGGCGCCGCUCACGAUGACCUCUUUGUGCUCCGCGGGAUCAAAGACGUGGUCCGCCCCAUCUUUACCCGCGGUGACCUGCCAGACGAGCUGCAGGGCUACUUUGCAUACCCGGAGGAGCUGUCCGGGAUGGCGAUAGACUAUGUGGCGCCUCGCUUGUCGAUUCAGCGAUGGUACGACUUCACGUGGGAGUACUCGGAGGGCAAGUACUGCGGCGUCGAAGGUAUCAUCUCCACCCGUGUAGACCUAGAAUCCUUGCCUGCUGGCCUACGGCAGUUUGUCUGCGAGCAUGCCACAGCGGUUUCGCGCGGCACGACAUGGAUGCAGACAAGGCUCAUGAUGAACCCCAUGUACAAGAAGACGAGCUCCGCUUACGGAUGUGGCGUCAGCGAGGAGUGCCGCAAGAUACAUCACUGGAAGGUAAAAACGUUUGAGGGGAAGCAGUACGGCAACCAGUACCAAGGCCUGUGCGGUAAGUACUUUUCCAAGUUGGGGGCGCCGCUGAAGUCCGGCGCCGCCACAGGCAUGAACAUAUAAAGAAGAGUGCCGGUAUUGAGGUAUGUGGAACUGAAAAACCGCGAGGGGCAAUGUGUGAACCGCGCGAGCUUGCGCUUCGCCUGUGGCCCCUCCUCAGCUCUCUUGUGCGAUGCCAUGCAAGAGUGCAUGGGUAGGUGUGGCAGGAGAAGGGGGAAGGGCUGCGCCGUUCGUUUGUUUUUCUGGCCUCCGCCGCGGUCGCAUCCGCUGCGCGCAAGGCUUCUGACGAUGAUGGCACGUGUGUUGGAGGAAAAGAGGGGCGGGGGAGAGAGAGAACUGCUCUGCAGUCUCUCUCUCUCGUCAAACCGCCGUGUCUUCCCCACCCAUCCACUCCCGCCUCCUCGCUGCCGCCACCCUCAUCGCUGCUCGUCUGCGUCUGCCUUUUUACAGACGCGCACAGUCGUCUUGUUCGCCAAUCGCCUCAUGACGUUUCUCCCGUUGGUCGAUGUACACAAUGUGAUUUGCACCUUUGGCGAACCCCAGCGCCGUUAG
rnacentral:misc_RNA from 1 species